GCCAGGGGAUUUUCUCGGUGUCUGGGCUGGCAUGCCUUGAAAAUGUGUUUUUCAACUGUAACGAACCAUUAAUACUUCAUGGGCUCACAUGCAGUUUAAAUUGCUCCAGUGAGGACCUUGCAGAUUCAUCACAAUUCUGUGCUUGGUAAAAGGCACUGAGGGUUAGACUCCUAGCAGCAGCCUGUCUCCUGUUUGCAGCCAGUUAUCGGGAAAUAAAUGAUCACCACAUAUGGACAUGCAAAAGAAGAAAAUGCCUGGUCACUGGAAGCAUAACAAAAAAGUCCCUUUGAUUUUGGAGCACUGGAGCCAUAGAGCUUUUUGAGAUUUCUCCAUUAUCAUGAAGAUGUGGAAGGUCCUUCUGGUUUCCAAGAAAAGCUGGGACUCUUGUACAACUGCUUCCCUCCAGAAUCUUGUGCCCUAUCUCCUGUCUUAAUUCCAGCCCCAGUCUGCAAGUACCUCAAGACUUUCAAUUAAAUCUGUUGUCAAUGUAAUUGCGAUCACUGACAACAUGGUGUCACUGGAAGAGUUCCUUUGCCCAUAGCUGAAGGAUUUGGGUGCCCUCUCUAUUUCACAUCUGCAGUGAUGUCCAGGGCAUAGUUUACCUGCUUCGUAAAAUAAUGUCUUAUUUGCACAGCAACCUCAGCUAUGGAAUGAAAAUAUCUUCUCUGGCCCAAAUUGUGAACUGUUAGAAAUCUGGCAGAACCCAUGGUGGAGGUGACUGCACCUCAGUGGUGGGAAGACUGAUAUUAAUUUUGUUCUGGCACUGUUCCCAUAAAUGAAACUUCUAUAAUAUUUCUCUUCGAGGUACAUAGGAGUUUUGCAUUCUGUGAGCCUUCAGGGUAAGGUCAUCCGUUUGUAAAACACUAAAAGAGUGACUGAGAUGAAUGCUAUAAUGAGGUUUGUUUGUCAAAGAUUUUUUCUGUCUUUAUGUUUGAUUUCCCUUGAAAUGAUGAGAGUUGACUUUUGCACCCAACACUUCAAUCUUUUUCAAAACUAGCUGUGCUCAGUAGGACUCACUUGUAGAAUUACAUCACUGAUGAGCAUUUUUGAUACAGUGCUUAUUCCACUGUGUAUUCCUAACAUAAUGAGUUAUAACUUUGCUGCUAAUUAGGUGUGCCACUGGCUGAAAUUUAAAAUCAAAAUCCUCUCCAAGGCUGUAGCUAACAUUCAGCAUCGUAAUGUCAUAAACAAGUGUAAGCAGCAGUUUGCUCUGUUCCUGCACCUGUGGGGACUUCUGCUUGCCACUCUAUGGGCCACUGUCUGAGCCAGAAUAGUUGUUUGUAUGGCCACAGAGGAAACUGGGAAAGGAAACUGAUGCAAGUGAAACAGAAAUCAGGAAACACAAAUGGUUAUUUUUUCAGCAGGAUCAGUUCCCUGACCUGGCUCAUCGCGCAGCCCUGUGAACAGCUGAGCUUACAUAGUGCAGAAGAUGGUGUAAGGAGGUUAAAGUGGCUAUGAGUAUCUCCACUGCUGCUUAGGGGAAACACAGCCUUAGUUACCUCUCUUGUGGUCCUAGGAUUUUAUAACUGAUAAUCUGUAUGCAAGGUCUUUUCCAAGGACAGAUCUUACAUUAAUGAAUUAACAGAGUACCAAAAGCAAGCAUUAGCGUAACUCGCUAUAUCUGAGCACAGUGUUCAGAAUGAUGUCCUGUUCUGGGCCCUCAAUGGCCUGCGACAGAAAAAGGUAAAUGAGAACCCUAUAGCAGCCACAUUCCUCUUUCUUCUAUGAAUAGAAGUUUCACUACCAAAGCUCUGAAGAACAGACACUCCUGUAGUGGUGGCACAAAAUAAUUUCACAGUUGCUGUAUAAGAUGGACUGUACACCUUGCAAGAUCUCAUAGGAAAACUAUUUAAUAUAAUUGAGUUUUUCUUGUCACCCUUGUUAUACAAUUCCACUGAGAAGCUGAGUUUUUACUGGAAUAAUACUACUAAAAAAAAAAAAAAAAAACAAAAACCAACCAAACAAAACAAAAAAAAACCCAAAGGAAAUUAAACCACAAACAACUAUAUUCAAAAAAAUACAAAGGGUCUGGCUCAUGCCCAAGAAAACAAGGAAAUUUAAAGAUAAAGAAAGCUGUCCUUAUUUCACCCCGUUGUGCCUGAGGACAGCUGGGGUUUCCAAAGCUGGCAGGCCGUACUGUGACCUGUUCCACUGAGGGUGAGCCCUUGCCGCAGACAAACCGGACUUUCUCUCUGGCUCCUUAAUGGGAAAGUCAUGUGGCACUACUGAAACCCAGGCUCUGACAUCUAAAAGCCCCCUUGGCCAUGUGUGUGGCUGGGAUGGAUUAGGGCUCCAGGCUUGCUGACAAGAUGUGGAGUAGCGGAAGAUGCAAGCAGGCUGUACUUCCCUUGGUUUGGCUGAGUGGCGCCCAGUUCCCUAGGACUUCUGCCUCAGACCGGUGGAUGGCCUGGUCCAGCCUGCCAAGCGUUAUGCCAAGCCCAGGAAGGAUGAAGGAAAAAUUGCUCCCUAGUUAAAGCCAUUUCUACUGAAAAUUCUCUGCAUGGAGAAAGGGCUUGAGAAAGUGGACUCAUCCCAAGAAGGAUUUGAAGAGGCCAAGUAUUCAAAGCAGCAGCAUGCAAACUCCAGGAGGGCCUUCAGAGGUGUAAGUGGUAGGUGGUUGGAAGUGAAAAAUAGAUGUGACUUUAGGAAAGGAUCAUGAUAGAACUGGAAGAAUUCCAUUGAAGAACUCAGACGGAGACAGUGUAAAUCACGUGAACCUGAAGCGAACCAAAAAUCAUGAGAAGAUGCUUGUUUAAUACACAAGGAACUCUAAAAACAAUGAGGAAAAAGCAACAGUCUUACUAACAUAUGUGUCUUAAUUUACUCAUAUCUGUGCAGACUUCAUUCUGCUUUUAAUAAUAAUGCAUCACAGGCCUUUUAUAGUCUGUUUCAAACUCCUGUCUAACAUGAUGAAAAUCUUAAAUAUGAUCCUUUUAAGGAUGGAAGAUGUAUCACAUAGAAUGGAGGAGGACUGCGGUACAAAAAUGAAUGGCCACCUAGCACAUCUGCAGCAGCAGUCAUCAGCAGAUGUUUAGGGGAGAAUAGAAAACUGAGGAUGUGUGACAUGAUUAAUUUCCUUGUUUAGCCUCUUGUUUUGAGUAUUCAGCUUUUCAGUGACUUCCUGAACUGGAAGUUCAAUAUGGUCGGUCAUGUCCUACUGAUACAGCUUUCUGGCAUGAGUUUGUUCAGUGUCUUUUGAACCUGUUUGAGUACUAUUCUCAUCACUGACCCAUGGCAGUUAUUAUACGAUGCCUAAUAAAACACAGAGCUUUUUUCCCCCCAAAAUGCUAAUGACUUUUUUGCACCCUGUUGUUUGUUUAACAGUUAGUGACUAAUGUUUAUCUGGUCUCUCUGCUUCCAUUUAGUAAUUUAGAACUUCUCCCAUGUCUCACCUCAAUUAUGUAUUUUCCGUGUGAAGGGCUCCUGGUCCAUGCUGCUCGUGAGGUGGAACAGCACACACUUUUGAUCAUCAUUGCUGCUCUCUGAGCAUACUCUGUUUCUUCUAUAUGCUCAGAUUGGUGGGGGUCAGACUCACAUGCUGUAGUCAAGCUUUCAGUAAUACUUUUUAAGCCCUUGGUGUACCUGGGGAUGCUAGUAGUGGUCUGAUGGUUAAGAUGGCAGAACCUGGAGGAGGUAUUACAACUGCUUAGAUAGUAUGUCUAGAAAUCUGGAGGCGGCACUCAACAGUUUCUCAGGUUGGAAACAAAAUCAAGGGAAGGGAAGAAUUUCUCAGAGACUCUAGACCUCCAUGAUCUGAAUCACAGAAUCACAGAAUGGACCCUUUGGUUCAUCUGGUCCAAUCCCUGCUCCAGCAGGACCACCCAGACCAGGCUGCCCAAGCCCACAUCCAAGUGGCUUUUGAAGAUUUUCACAGCCUCUCUGGGCCACCUGUGUCAGUGCUCAGUCAUCUACACCGUAAAUUUUGACAAAGUCCAAAUAACAUAAAAGGGAGCCAUGCAAGGAUUUGUCUCUCUGGGGGUCCUACGUGGAGCAGAAUGAAGAUGAAAGUUGUGUCUUUUUCAGAUCUGUACAUGUGGUUCUGGAAUACACACAGUGUUUGAUGUGGAUGGGGUUGAAGGUCUCAGCUCCUGUUCCUCAUUUCUCUAAAUCUGUGCCUAAGGGUAGCUGCUAAAGAAAGAGUCAGAUCACAAUCUAAAUCUCUUGUGUCUUUUCAUUAUUUUUUUUCCAUUCCAUCUAGAGAUGUGAAGUGUAUUAAUUUUGAUUGAAACCCCAAUAAGACAUAGAAAAAGAAAAAAGCAUCUUGAUAUCUUCCUGGCACUAUAUGCCAGCACUAAACAGCUUGCUACAUGGUGUCAUGAUAUGGAAUACUGAUAAAUCCAGGAGACUUCCUUUAUCUCUAAUCCCAAGUUAUGUUCCCAGGAAUGAACAGAUAAAAUUAACAUCUUUUGAACUCAGAGAUAUUGAUGGUUUCUUCAAGAAAGUAAGUGUCCAUGUGAGAUGAAGAUGGAAAUCACCUAAUGAAAACAGUAAUACACAUAAUUGAUAUUUCCAAAUUCAACCUUCUGGUGACUGUGAAAAGGAUUGUAAGAGAUAAACUAUAAAUAAAAUAUGAAGAUAAAACUUUUCAAAUUGGAUGUUUUAGAAGAAUGCUUAUGGUUUUACCUAUUUAUUUAUUUUUACUGUUUGGAAUUUAGCAAUUGGUAUAAAUAAAAGAAAGUAGAGAAUUCAAAUAAUGGGAAGCCCACUUCUGCCAUACCAUUUUAUGACUGAUCCAGUGCCUAUCCCUGUUUUUAUUCCAUUCUCUAAAUUCUAAGCCAAGCCACUGACCAGAUGCAGUGCAGAAAAAAUAUCUUGAAAUAAAUAGGUUUAUGUAUUUAUACACAUUCUGCUUUGCUCAUAAUGAAACUCAUUGAGAAAACACAUGUCAAAUAAUUCUCAGAAAUAAGAAUUAAAACAAAAAGGAAUCUAAUGUUACAACAGUGGUCAAAGAACAGUGUUAAGAUGUAAGCUGAAUUUUGUUCAAAGGUUUGCUAAGCCGUAGAAGAGCUGUGCAAGAGCAAAACACAAAGACCUGUGAUGGCAUCUGAAUGUGCUUCAAAUAAGCAAAUGUUUACGUAGUCUACCAAGGCUAGUAUCAUUUUUUUACCACAUUGAUGUAUUAGUGUGUUCCACUGUCUUUUCUUCCUCACCUCCUAAUGAUAACCAUGUCUUAAUGAGUUUAUCUGCCCUCAGUGGUUAUAAUGACAUAUAAUACUUUCUCCGUUUUGACCAGUUUUAAUUUCAUGUUUUAAUUGAGCAUACAGUCACUCUGAUGAAAGACACAGACAUAUUACAAACUGAUGAGUAGCAGACCUGGUAUUUGUGGAAUUUAUUUCAGUGUAAGUUAGUUAUCUGAGUCACAUCCACUUGGACAGACUAGUUCUCAAAUUCUUUUUGAAAACAUUUAUUUCAAUAUUCCAUUAAAAAAAAAAAAAAAAAAAAAAGAAAAAGAGAGAGAGAGAGAGAGAGAAGUAAGAGCUCUGGAAACAAAGCUUCGUUCAUUACUAUCCAGAAUUUUGUCAGCACUGUACCCAUCCUAGUCAGCUGCUAUUCACUGUUUAUCAUUUCAGUCCAAUAGAAAAUGCUGAGCAGAAGAUUUACCACAGUAUAACUGAAACAUAAAGUUCUGGCUACAUAUAAAUAAACGAAGGCAAAUUCUACUGUCAUGAUAUGUACAAUAUCCAAAUAGUAACAGUGAACAUAGAGAUACAGUGUAAUAAAAGAAUUAUGGCUUAGGGGCUGUUGCUGAUGUCCUGACUCCUGAUGCAGCAACGUAACCUUACUGAAUUCAGCAGUAAUUGCUUGAAAAAUAUUACUGGACAGAAACUGAGUCAACAUUAAUGAAAAUGAAUAAUAUCCCUCAAAUUUUAGGUUAUGCAGCUAUGUGUGAUGAAAGAUAAUCUGGACAUAGAGAUGAAGAAAUACAUUAGGACACUAAGACCAUGCAAGUAAUUCAUAAGGGGAAUUUUUUGCCUAAUGAAAUGAUGUACCAUUUACUGAAUGGCUUCUUGAGGUUUCAUUACGUCCUGUGUCCUGUUGCUUCUUGGUGAUAGCCAGAAAUGACUCUGCUGAACUCAACAGGAUGAUCUCUCUACAUGAAUGCAUCCUUAGAGUAAAGCAGAUGGAGUAUUUAUUUCCGAAUGACAGCAGUGUUACUAUGAAAAUGUUCUACAGUCUCUAAAUUCUACUGACAUACUAAAUGACAAAUGCGGGAUAUAUGUUUUGUGAUUAAAUUUUCCAGUUUCUGGUGUAGUGCUUUUAAUAUGGAAAGCAAAUUCACAUGUUUUCAGCUUUGAGAACAGAGUCCAGUAUUGCAGUUUGGCACUGCAGUAAGCUAAGUAAGGGAAAAAGUUAUUGUUUUCCUGAACAUGGAAAAUAUAAGAGGCAGUACAAAUACUGAAACAAGUAAGGCAAUAUUUUAUACACAACUAAGAAUUUGGUAAGAGUGAAGACAAAAGAUGGUUUUGGACAACAAAAGUUUAGAUCAAAUCCAAACUCCUUUAGCAUUUAGCUGUUUCAGGACCAUCCUCUUGAUACUUUUUAAACAAGCAAGCAAACAAAAAAAUCUCAAAAUAUCUCUAUACAAAGAAAACACAGUGAAAAACAGUCUUGAACCUAAAUUAAAUAAUAGCAGUGGUUAGAGGUCUACUGGCGAGAAAUUAGAAGGGUCCUAGGGCUUUAUUCCCAUAGAGUCCUAAGCUUUUCAGUUUACUUUAAUAAAAACUUAAAUCACUCUCCAAUGAUUUCUCUUAAGGAAAAGCAUGAGUUAAAAGAGAAUGGGAAAGUAUAAACAAGUUGAAUGUCACAGACUGGUAAAUAAAAAGUUAUGGUCUGAAGGAAUGGCUGUGAUUUCAAAGAGAUAUGGAUUCAUGCAGGAUGUGAGUAACUCCUUUAGACUUCCCACUAUCUAUAAGUGGGCUCCCACUGACGUUAUUGGUAUCCUCUGUCAAGAGAAUAGGACCCAUAUUUUUAGAUUUGUGUAUACCAGCUAUUUGCUGGAGUUGUUAUCACACUCGUAUUUUUAGCGGUUCACUAUAUUAAGGAGAGGAGCUUUUGCAUUGUGUUGUGUCAUUUGCAGUGUGCAAACUUCCUGGAGCUUUUCUGCUCCUUUGAUCCCACCAGCCACAGUAGCAGAAGAGCUGACUCAUCAGCCACGACUAUUUCUUCCAUAACAGGAGCUCCCCAGGUAGGCGGAAAUUUGCCAAACACAGGAAGGUAACAGCCAUAUCCACUCUGAGCCCUGGACUAACUCAAAGUCCACUGCAAACAGGAAGAAUCUCAGCAAUAUCAGAGUUGAUUGCAGGUAUUUCAUGGAUUUGUCUUCUGACAUUCUGUAGCAAUGUUAUGUCACUGUAUCCUAAGUAUACUUUGUGCACUUUUCAUCUGUAGUAAUACCAAAGUACAGUAAUGAUCAGUUUCUUGCUGGGUACAUUUAUCUUUACUUAUUGUACAGAUAGUGGUGUUAUUUUGUGAUUUGUGUUGUUAGUUAUACACGCUAGCUCACAGAAAAUCAAAAUAAAAUUAUACAAUUCCUCCUGACCCAGAAAUGCUAUUUCCCCACUCCUCCCUUCCAUACAUGCAAUCUUUCUUGACAUCUAUUUAAAAUAAAAUGUAUUGGCUUUUUCCAUAAAGCCAGUAUGUUAUGUGAAUUUGCUAGAAAGAUGACACAAUAUUACAUUAAAUUUUUGAAAACAUGGAAGUAACUAAAUUCUUAUGCACAGUAUAUUGAGAAGAGAUAUGACAGUUUAAGAAUGAGAAGAUUUAUGUGAGCUUAACUUUAUGCAUUGUAACAAAAUGGAACAGACUGACCAGGAAGUGGUGCAGUCACUGUCUCUGGAAGUGUCUGAGGAAAGGGUAGGUGUAGUACCUAGGGACGUUUUUAGUGGGCAGUAUUGGUGUUUGGUGGAUGGUUGAAGAAGAUGAUCUUAGAGGUCUUUUCCAACCUUAUUUAUUCUAUGAUUCUAUCAAAAUUUUCAAAAAACCCCAAUCCAACACACACUUUUAUUCUGUUUGAAUUUAAGGAAUUGUGUAAUGUAUUUUAAAAUACUUCUGUCUCAAUUUUCUUGACUGGUUCUAUAAAGCAAAUCUCUUAACAUAUAGUAUUUUGAAGAUGCUCAAUAGCUUAUGAAGCAGCAUGACUUAUUCCCAAUAGGUCUUACUCUCUUUCCAUUUUUCAGUGGAUGUAGAAGCUUGAGUAGCAAUCACUUCUUUCUUUUUUUCCUUCUUUUGCUUCCUUUUUCCUUUUUUUUUUUUUUAAUGUACAUUUUGCUUCAAACUUAUAUUAGUGAAAGACAGUCUGCAAAGUACCUCUUUGUACUUGGAGCAGAAAUAUCUCAAGUAAUGAGAUCAGCCAGCAUGGGUUCACGAAGGGCAGGUCCUGCUUGACCAACCUGAUCUCCUUCAAUGAUCUAGUGACCUGACUGGUGGAUGAGGGAAAGGCUGUUGAUGUGGUCUACCUAGACUUCAGCAAAGCCUUUGACACUGUCUCCCACCGUAUUCUCCUGCAGAAGCUGGCAGUCCGUGGCUUGGACAGAUACACUCUUGGCUGGGUAAGGAACUGGCUGGAGGGCCGGGCCCAGAGAGUGGUGGUGAAUGGAGUUAAAUCCAGCUGGCGACCGGUCACGAGUGGUGUUCCCCAGGGAUAGGUGCUGAGGCCUGUCCUGUUUAAUAUCUUUAUUGAUGACCUGGAUGAGGGUAUUGAGUGCACCCUCAGUAAGUUUGCAGAUGACACCAAGCUGGCUGGAAGUGUUGAUCUGCCUGAGGGUAGAAAGGCCCUACAGAGGGAUCUGGAUAGCUGGGCUGAAGCCAAUGGGAUGGGAUUCAACAAGACCAAAUGCCGGGUCCUGCACUUUGGCCGCAAUAACCCCAGGCAAUGCUACAGGCUUGGGGCAGAGUGGCUGGAAGACUGUGUAGAGGAAAUGGACCUGGGGGUGUUGAUUGAUGCUAGGCUGAACAUGAGCCAGCAGUGUGCCCAGGUGGCCAAGAAGGCCAAUGGCAUCCUGGCUUGUAUCAGAAAUAGUGUGACCAGCAGGAACAGGGAAGUAAUUAUCCCCCUGUACUCAGCACUGGUGAGGCCGCACCUCGAGUACUGUGUCCAGUUUUGGGCCCCUCACUGUAAGAAAGACAUCGAGGCCCUGGAGCGUGUCCAGAGGAGGUCAGCAAAGCUGGUGAGGGGUCUGGAGCACAGGCCUUAUGAGGAGUGGCUGAAGGAGCUGGGAUUGUUCAGUCUAGAGAAGAGGAGGCUCAGGGCAGACGUUAUUGCUCUCUAUAACUACCUGAAGGGAGGUUGUGGUGAGCUGGGGGUUAGCCUCUUCUCUUGGGUGACUGGUGAUUGGACUAGAGGGAAUGGCUUCAAGCUGCACCAGGGAAGGUUCAGGCUGGACGUUAGGAAUACUACUUCUCUGAAAGGGUGGUCAGGCACUGGAAUGGGCUGCCCAGAGAGGUGGUGGAGUCACCGAGCCUAGUGGUGUUCAAAGAGCGUUUGAAUGUUGUGUUGAGGGACAUGGUUUAGCGAAAACCAUUGGUGAAGGGCGAAUGGUUGGACUGGGUGAUCCUGUGGGUCUUUUCCAACCUUAGCGAUUCUGUGAUUCUAUGAUUCUAUGAAUGCAAUACACUGAAUGAAAAUGCAGAGAUGCAAGGGCAGUAAAUUGCCCUGAUUCCAAGUAUGUUUAAGAUAACAUUUUGUUUGGCUUCCAACAGCUCUGCUACAGAAGCUCACAAGCUAAGAAAGGCUGGACCUCACUGAUACUUGGAUGGAAUAUCUUCAUAUUUAUUUUAGGGAGUGGCACUAAUGACUUUGUAGCUGGCACUUUGAAUUGGUGUUACCUCAGAACUUAUUAUUUUGUUAGGGAUAAAAAAUUGCAAGAGAGAAAAAAGGCUGAAUUUUCAAAUACCAAUCCAGUCAUAAAUCCGGUGGCCUUCUAUGAUAGAGUGACAGCAUAGGUGGACAAAGGAAGAGCAACUGAUGUUUUCUAGCUGGACUUCUGCAAGGACUUCAUAAUGGUCCUGCACCAUUAUGCCCAGCCAGAGGCUGGUGAUGACUUCUUUUAUCUCUGGGAAUCUUUUCCUCUGCAAAGGGUGCUGGCCUUCCACAAAAUUCAAGUCUUAAAAGUUUACAGCUGCCUUUGUUUCCACAGAAUUCAAGCCAACUGAGAGUAAAGAGCUGUCCUAAUACCUCUUGCAGUCUGAGGGCGCUGCAGAGAACGUGCAUAGCCCCAGUAUAUGUGUGAGCAUUUGGCUUGCCAUUUCAUUUUGCUGAAACAUGUCAGGCUUACCAAAUGCUGUAUGAGGCCCAGGAGAUGUCUACUAAGACCUUCUGUCUUCCUGUAGACUCAUUUCUAGGGAAUAGUUUGAUGUGCACUGAUCUAAUACUUAUCAUCACAAUAUGUAUGCAUCUAUGAAUGUACAUACGUGGAUAUGUGUGUAUAAACAUACACACAUACGAACUCUUCUGUCAAGAAGAAAGUGGACAAAAUAUUAAUUACUGAAGCAAUUCUAUCACUAUAUUCAAUACUUAGUGCUUUAUUCACAAUGUUUUAUUUUCAUUUUUGCUCUCCUUUUAUAG
ensembl:lncRNA